UCACCGUUAAGCGUUCUCAGAAAAUUAUUCACCGAAUUCAUAGUGCCAAAUCACAUCAAAUUCCCGGAAAACAUAAAUUAAUCAGCGGAGGAGAAGAAUUUCGUCCAUCGGCUGCGCCGUUUCAAACCAAAACUUUAAGAUUUUCAAUUCCACUAGCAGCAACGGCAGAGAAGGAUUCAAUAGAGGUGAAGAAAUUUAGCAUCUGUGAGAAAAAUCCAAAGAACUAUCAGUAGCUCAAUGAUUACAUGCCUUAUGGGAAAUAUACGCUAUGCCGAUUUCAAGCAUGAGUAGAUGAUUUCUUUCAAACUUCAGAGAGAAAUAUAUGAGAAGAAAUUCAUGUAUCCCGAGCAGAAGCACCUUAUGUCCAACCUUUUGUACACAAACCAAUUGAUUUCAAAGGCUUCAACGUCAGUCGUCAAAGAGCUACUGUAUUAAUCAUCAGGUGGCUGGAAAAGUUGUGAAGCUUGAUUGGAUUAUUAGCUAUUUACAGUCCUUCUGGCACCAAGUUGAGGUAAAUUAUUUAGGGGCUUUGUUUCCCCCCCUCUUGCAAAAACUGACUUUGCUAAAAU